ensembl:lncRNA
AAAAAAGCCACAAUCCUGCACAGAAUGGCUCAACGGCUCUGUGAGAACAUACAUUAUGGUGGAUGACGUCAAGAUGGCGGCCGCAUCUAAGUGCCUGGAGCCGUGUUGGAAACCGUGGUUACCACAGUAAAUGCCAGCUUUCGCAGAUGGCCAGCGGACUGCUGCUGAAAUUACAUGCUCCAAAACCUCUUUCUCUUUUUAAUGGGGCAGCCUCCCAUGUGAAGAAACUUGGCCUUUCCAGUUUCCUCUCCAGAGAAAAUGAGAUUCCCCAGAGAACCAAGACCUGCAAAGACCCACAGAUGAGUUUCACAGUUCAAAUACCAACCAAAUUUGCACCCAAAAUAUAAGUGUUUUUGAUGUUAAAAUGUAGAAACUUGGUUUUGUGAUUCGUUUUGUACCUUUCCUACCCUAUGCUUGUUUUAAUGGCACAUUUUUACGCCGAUGCAUUCAGUCCAGACAGGAAUAAAAAUAGGACAAUUAUGUGAUAAAUUAUUUCUGAUGUAAUUUAUUGCGAGUAAUACGUUACUCUGCCCUCUUUUAUUACAGGUGCAGCAUCACAAAGGCCUUAAAAUGCAUUGAGGAAGUACAAUCAUGAGCCUCACAUGGACAAAUUUCCAGAAGCAGACAGAAUCACUGGAGCGUGAUGAGUCAAAACGCUGGUAUAAAUAGCAUCAGCAAGGCGAAUCAUGAAUAAUGAAGGAGCCGCCCGUCCCACUGGAGCACAAGUCAUAGGCCUCAAAUAAUGUCAACACACAGUAACAAGGUCUUGUGUCUUACACAAAGCAUCCCCACUCUAAUGAAUACUUCAAAACCUUUCAUCGUCUGGGUGGGCUGGAUGGCCAGACUUUACAGUGGCACCUACAAAGACUGACUUUGUAUGUGAGAUUGUACACAUGAAUAGGCUACUGUGACUUUGACCAUCUUGUGUAUUUGGCACAGAUGGCAAACAUGCAUAAAAACCACAUAUAUUUUCCUCCUUUGACUUGCUCAAGCACGUGCUUGGGGAUAUAAUUAUUGUUUUGGUUGUAUAAAAGCUUAGCUUGAGGCGUAGUAGUAGAAAUUUAGUCUAAACCCAAAAAGUUCCCUCUUAAAAUCUUAAAGCGUACUUGCUUCAACAAGAAUUCAUAAGCAAACAUAAAUCACUGUCUUUUUCAAACAGAAAAAUAUAAUUUUCUGCAUCAUAAUUCUGGUCUUUCGUCACAUGAUCCUUCAGAAAUCAGUUUGAUCUUCUGAUUUAAUGCAUUUCUCAUUAUUAUCAGUGUUGAAUUGAGUUUAAAGAGAAGACUUUAUUUGAUACAGAUAUAAUUUGUAAUAUUAUCCACCUGAUUUUUCAACGUAGAAGUAAGCUGUUUUCUAUGAAUGUGUGAGACUUCCGGCUGCUGUAGGGGAAUAACUAUAAGAAUAACAGUAAGUUAAACACAAAAACUGUUUGCACUCCAAACCAGUUUGUUUAUAAGUAAGAUAAUACAUUAAAAUUUGCACCAGUUUGCAAUAUCAAGCAGCCAAACGAGCUGUUUUGUACAGCUAAUAAUUGCUGGAAGCGGAUGAGACCGGGAAGGCUCGCACAUAAAAUUUACAAAUGGCCACCUCCGCUCUAAGGGGAAAAAUAAGGUGAAUAAAAUGUCUU